UCUCUCUUUAAAGAAUGACUCUAAAGUGGCUGCUGAGUCAUGUGUGUCAGGAGGUGACAGAGAGGAGUAAGGCUCUGUUUAUGCUCAGUGUUCUGACUCAGGAACAUCUGAAUGAUUAGUGGCCUAACAUU